rnacentral:rRNA from 1 species
UACGUAGGGUGCAAGCGUUGUCCGGAAUUAUUGGGCGUAAAGAGCUUGUAGGCGGUUUGUCGCGUCUGCUGUGAAAUUUCGGGGCUCAACCCCGAACUUGCAGUGGGUACGGGCAGACUAGAGUGUGGUAGGGGAGACUGGAAUUCCUGGUGUAGCGGUGAAAUGCGCAGAUAUCAGGAGGAACACCGGUGGCGAAGUCGGGUCUCUGGGCCGAUACUGACGCUGAGGAGCGAAAGCGUGGGGAGCGAACAGG